UACGGGGGGGGCAAGCGUUGUUCGGAAUUACUGGGCGUAAAGGGCUCGUAGGCGGCCAACUAAGUCAGACGUGAAAUCCCUCGGCUUAACCGGGGAACUGCGUCUGAUACUGGAUGGCUUGAGGUUGGGAGAGGGAUGCGGAAUUCCAGGUGUAGCGGUGAAAUGCGUAGAUAUCUGGAGGAACACCGGUGGCGAAGGCGGCAUCCUGGACCAAUUCUGACGCUGAGGAGUGAAAGCCAGGGGAGCAAACGGG
rnacentral:rRNA from 1 species